rnacentral:rRNA from 1 species
UACGUAGGGGGCAAGCGUUGUCCGGAAUCAUUGGGCGUAAAGAGCGUGUAGGCGGUCCGGUAAGUCGGCUGUGAAAGUCCAGGGCUCAACCCUGGGAUGCCGGUCGAUACUGCCGGACUAGAGUACGGAAGAGGCGAGUGGAAUUCCUGGUGUAGCGGUGAAAUGCGCAGAUAUCAGGAGGAACACCUAUUGCGAAGGCAGCUCGCUGGGACGUUACUGACGCUGAGACGCGAAAGCGUGGGGAGCAAACAGG